CUACGCCACUUCCAAUAUGAGAGGUAGAGUUGAAAGGAGGACAAUCUUGGCCACACACGAAUAGCCGCAUCAGAAAUUUUAUAAAGUAGUGUUUUUGCCUUAAGCUAUAAGUGCUUGUGGUAUUGAGCCUGAGAGUGGAUUCAUAGACUUAUGCAAACAAGGAAACCUCGCGUGGUCUCUCCCUCCAAUCUGAAGCAAUUCCUAUUGUCAGGAUUGGCUAUGAUGAUUGUGCAGGCGGUACAGAAAAAAAACCGGUUAAUUGUCAAUUUUUAGAGGCGAAAUGUUCCUUCAACAAUAAUAUAUUUCAAACGAAUUGUGACUCAAUACAUUCUUUGAUCACAGGGAUUUUUUUAUCAUAGUUUAAAAGGACUUUAAAAAAUAAUCAAUUCAUCAUUGACCAAUCGACAGUGUCCAGAUUGUUUCGAAUCCUUAUUUACAUUUCCAUCUCUGCAAAAAAAACGUUUAGUCAGGAUCACUUGGCUGACUGAUAGAAAAUCUGAAUCGGAAAGUAUUCUGCAGAGUGACUAUGAGCUUGCAGUAGAACCCUGAGUAUGAAAAGGUAUUUUUAGUACGUACGUACGUAACAAGCAUGCGGUAAGUUCUUUCUCCCAACUUCUUAACCUUCGAUAAAUGUUGCUCAGCGAAGAAGCCCCGGAGCUUACAGGCUUAUUCUCAUAUCUGUUAUACCUGCAAAGGUGCAAAGGCGUUGGGGCGGAGUGCUGUUGCAGCGGGGGUACAGAGGUCCAAAGGUACUUGUGUACAAAUAGGCAGGCAUGCCCUCGGUAAACCGACGAAUGCCGAAGCAAGCCGAAGUAUCAGCAACGCAAUAAUAUCCCGGGUCACCGACCACUAUCUCUUCCACAGGCCGUCGAACGGUCCUGCGGCCGUCUUUUCCCGAUGGGCUAGCUGAGCUUCGUUGUACAUUACCCGCCUUGUUUGCAGCAUCUUUUUAACUCGGUUUGCCUGCAUCGCAAACAUUCUUCAAGUAGCCGGUCGAGCUGCGAGAUGUAUGCAGCGCGUCAAACUUUUGUACUUAAAAAAAACAAAUGGUGUAUAUGUAGACGAGUUCUAUGAGGUUCAAUGCAGACGAAAGGUCAACUCGGACAGACCAAAGUAUUCUCUGGGUUAUCCUGCAGGACUCAUGCAUAAUUAAAUUGAGACCUUUUUAACAAGUCGUUGUAACCUCUUGCAAAGUAUAUCAAUUGGGACGGUAAACAAAGGUGAAUUAUUCGAACCGAAAGUAUUUUCAGGCUAGUUUUUAUUUUGCCACACAGAUGAGUCAUUAAAUUGUCGGCAACAAACUGAUCGCCAAAGUCUCCAUUUGAGGACAGUGCAGAAGAUUAUUGGGUUCGAUCAUUUCAUGUGACGGAGCUCUACAUGUACGACGUUAUGUAAAAUAAAUAUGCCGAAGCUUGCAGA